UAAAUAAAAGCAGAUGUAUUGAGCGGUAGCUUGUUUUACCUUCCAGUUAAAAAGGUAAUAGAUGUUCAGUAUAGAACAUUUGGAAAGCAAAGAAAGAUCACAAAUGAGUUAAAAAUGGAAAUCCAGUUAUGUAUCAUUUGUUCCUGAGUCCCUGGUUCUUAGAAGGAACUGUUAGGAAAGCAUGUACCCUGCAGAGGCUGGAGAUGGGCUCAGGCAGCAGCUAACCAUUGUUAUGCUGGCCUCCUGCUUUGAGGCACCGAUAGCCAGUGUAGAUGCCCCAGGUGUUUGUUUGGGAAAGAAGCUCC
rnacentral:lncRNA from 1 species